rnacentral:rRNA from 1 species
GACGUAGGGUCCGAGCGUUGUCCGGAGUUACUGGGCGUAAAGGGCGCGUAGGUGGUGUGUCGCGUCUGCCGUGAAAGCCCGGGGCUUAACUCCGGGUCUGCGGUGGAUACGGGCAGACUAGAGGCAGGUAGGGGAGAACGGAAUUCCCGGUGUAGCGGUGAAAUUCGUAGAUAUUCGCAAGAACACCAGUGGCGAAGGCGGCUCACUGGCCCGAUACUGACGCUGAGGCACGAAAGCGUGGGGAGCAAACAGG